rnacentral:rRNA from 1 species
UACGUAGGGUGCAAGCGUGUCCGGAAUUAUUGGGCGUAAAGAGCUCGUAGGCGGUUUGUUGCGUCGGCUGUGAAAUCCCCGAGGCUCAACCUCGGGUCUGCAGUCGGAUACGAGCAAACUAGAGUGUUGCAGGGGGAGACUGGAAUUCCUGGUGGUAGCGGUGAAAAUGCGCCAGAUAUCAGGAGGAACACCGGUGGCGAAGGCGGAGUCUCGUGGCAAACAACUGACGUGAGGAGCGAAAGCGUGGGGAGCGAACGG